rnacentral:tRNA from 1 species
GGGGUCGCACUUCGGCUCAGUGGUAGAGCAUUGGCUUGGCAUGCAGAAUGUCCUGAGUUCAAUCCCAGUUGUCUUCU